AGGUUGGCUUAGAAGCAGCCAUCCUUUAAAGAAAGCGUAACAGCUCACUGGUCGAGAGUCCUUGCGCCGAAGAUGAUCGGGGCUCAAGCAUAUUACCGAAACUGCGGAUUUCAUCUAUCUACGGAUUUUUGAAGUGGUAGGAGAGCGUCCUGUUCUGCGAUGAAGCUAAGGGGUAACCCGAAGUGAAGCGUACAGGAGUGAGAAUGCCGGCACGAGUAACCGCAAGGAGGGUGAGACCCCCUCCCGCCGAAAUACCAAGGUUUCCUUUGCGAUGGUGAUCAUCGAAGGGUUAGUCGGUCCUAAGGGAAUCCCGAACGGGGUACUCGAUGGAUAGCAGGUUAAUAUUCCUGCACACUGUGUUACUGCGAUGGAGGGACGGAGUGUUGUACUCACAGCUUCUUAUUGGAUUGGAGCUGGAACUAUGAGAGUGUUGUCUAGGUAAAUCCGGAUAAUAAUAGCUCGAGUAGGGUCUGAAAGUUUAACCUCGGUUAAAUUGAUGUGGGGAGCACACUUCCGAGAAAAACUUCUAAGCUUCAGGUAACAUGGUUCCGUACCGCAAACCGACACAGGUGGUAGAGUCGAGAAGACUAAGGCGAACGAGUGAGAUGCCCUCAAGGAACUCGGCAAAAAAGCGGCCGUAACUUAGGGAUAAGGCCUGCCUCUGCCCUUCGGGGUUAGAGGCCGCAGCGAAAGAUUUCCUGGCGACUGUUUAACAAAAACACAGCUCCCUGCGAACACGUAAGUGGAUGUAUAGGGGGUGACGCCUGACCUAUGCCGGAAGGUUAAAUACGGAAGGUCCAAUGUAUUUAUAUGUUGGGCUGGGCUGUAUAAGCCCCGGUAAAUGUCAGCGAUAACUAUAAUCGUUCUAAGGUAGCGCAAUUCCUUGUCGGGUAAGUUCCGACGUGCACGAAUGGCGUAACGACUGGGAAACUGUCUCGAGGGCAUGCUCGGUGAAAAUACAAUUCCGGUAAAGAUGCCGGAUACCUGCAGUUAGACGAAAAGACCCCAGGAGCUUUACUGUAGCUUCGUAUUGGGGUUGUUGAAUUGAUGCGUAGUAUAGAUGGGAGACUUUGAAGUAUUCCUCCUGGGGAAUAUGGAGUCGUCAGUGAAAUACCAUCCUUUAAUUUGACAAUCUCUAAUCUAACAGGAAAAACCUGUUAGCGACAGUGCGUGGUAGGCAGUUUAAGUGGGGCGCUUCCCUCCCAAAUUGUAACGGAGGGGUCUCAAGGUUGGUUAGGCGCGAAUGGAAACCGUGCCGAUAGUGUAAUGGCAUAAACCAGCUUGACUGCGAGAUGUAAAUAUCAAGCAGACACGAAAGUGGAGCAUAGUGAACCGAUGGUUGGCUUUAGAUGCCGCCGGAGAUUACCUGAUAAAAGUUACCCUGGGGAUAACAGGCUAGUCGUGCCCAAGCGUCCAUAGCGACGGCACGGUUCGGCACCUCGAUGUCGGCUCGACUUAUCCUGGGGCUGGAGCAGGUCCCAAGGGUUUGGCUGUUCGCCAAUUAAAAAGUCACGCGAGCUGGGUUUAGAUCGUCGUGAGACAGGUUGGUCUCUAUCUACUGCAGGCGUCGAUCCUUGACGAGAUUUGUCCCUAGUACGAGAGGACCGGGAUGAACGAACCUCUGGUCUACCAGCUGUCACGCCAGUGGCACCGCUGGGUAGCUAUGUUCGGAAUGGAUAACCGCUGAAAGCAUCUAAGCGGGAAGCCAACUCCAAGAUGAGGAAUCAUUAAGUCCCCUGAGAGAUGAUCAGGUUGAUAGGCACUAGGUGGAAGUCCGGUGACGGGCGGAGCCGAGGUGUACUAAUAGGACGUGGUUUUCCUGCAA
rnacentral:rRNA from 1 species